GUGAGGCAGCUCCUCGGUGAGAUGGGCUCCAGGUCCACUCGAGCUCCCAUGGAAUGAGAGGAGUAGACUCUGGCACCAGGAUCUGCCUCAUUGGGGUCUCCUGCUUCAUCAGAAGAAGAGGAGGAGCUGCUGCCUGGAGCACAGUGUGGGCCGGAGCUGGGGCCCUGGGCUGACGGUGGGGCCCUGCUAGAAGCCCAGGGUUGCCGGAUGCCUUCUUCUUCCCCAGGGCCCCCUAAGACCCGCUCCCAGUGCAGCAGUGCCCCCAGGCUCCCAGGACCGAGCAGCAGGAAUGGGGACAGGGCAUCCAGCGCCGGGGGUGGAGUAGCCGGGGGACCUGGACCGCCUGGCCGUAACUGCUGCUCCCAACACACCUGGGAGGAGAGAAGGCGUGAGGAGGAGGAGAGACGGUGUGGCUGGUGCCGGAGGCCCAGGCCUUAAGGAGCCUGCAGGAGAAGCAGCCUGUUCCUGAGACUCGUUAAGAACCCGCGGUGGAGCCUCUAGCCAGUCCUGUCCACCCAGGAAGGACAGGAAGCAAAGGUGGCUUCCUCCCUCCUAGAAGCCAUGUCAAAAGGGAGGGGCAUCUAAGGCGUGGGAGAACCCUGACGUCUAAGUGGCCCGCAUCACAGCGAUCUGAAGAAAACACUUCAAGGCCAUAGAGGCUCAUGACGUUGGUAGUGUUUUGAAGGCGAUAGAGAAAUCAGCUGGGCUCCAGGGCCUGUACCACGUGGUUGGCAACCUGGGGACACAAAGUCCGGGAGCUGAGCUGGCGUUUUGCCCACCCACCCCUGUCCCCAGCCCUGUCCUUCGGCAAACCCCACAGACCUCAUCCAGACAGCGUUCGUAAGUCUCCCGCUGGUUCUCAUUGGCCUGCGCAAGCGCCGAGUUCUCUGCCUGUAGGGUGAGGUGGAAAGGGGAAUCAUUGAGGCUCAUUUGUACCCUGGGAGCGAGGGUGGCAGAGUGGACAGGCUUUGCCCUGUCCAUCAAACUCCUGGACCAGGGUUAUCUGACCGUUUUACCUAGUAGCCUCUAUGGAUAUCACUGUCCUUGGAACCAGUAGGGUCGUAAAGGUGGGGUGGGGGUGGGGAAGAGACACUCGUGGCAUAGGACAGCUACGUACUCUUCACUGUCGCCCGAGCUGGAGAGUGAAGAGGAACCGGGGCUUCCCAGGGGAGCUUUAAUAAAGAACCAACCGUCCAGCCCUCUCCUGCCUGGCAAGCCUUCUCCACACUGAGCUCAGCGGUGGGCAGCCCUGACUCCCCAUGCCCCGCCCUGCCCUGCCUGCCACCGCGUACCUCCAGCUCCCGAAGUCGGUGCAGAAGCUCCUGGCAGGUGCUGAGCUCCAUGCUGUCGUCCUCACCAGCCGAUGCCCUCAGCUUUCCGGUGCCUCCGGCCGGCUGGUCCAUGACCUUGGGAGUCAGGCUCUGGGAAUGAGGCCUGGCAGGCUACUCCCAGGCAGACCAGGAACAGGCAAGGAGAGAAGGCAGGAGGAGGGUGACAAAACUCUCUAGUGACCUCUGCUAUACUGGUGAUAAUGCAACAGCUCAAGGGAUCCCUCUACCUCCGUCUCCUGAGGACUGAAAGUGUGCAGCAACCACGCCAGGCACCAAGGGUAUUUGAAAAGUAAAGAUGGGCUCAACCUACGGCUCAGCAGGACACACACUGAAGACCAGAGACUAUUCUACCCUGAACACACAGGAGCACAGCAGGGCUCUGACUGGCACUGCGCUGUGCCUUUCCUAUCAACGAGGCUCCUGCCGUUGCUGUUGGCUUGAAAUGACAAGUCUUCAUCUUUCAUCUCUGGCUCGUUCACUCUGGCAGCCAGAUGGGUCACCUCACCUGUAAAGGACAGAGGAACGGUGUUGCGGCAUUCCCUCAGUGCAUGGUAGGUCUGGAGUAAGCCCAGAGCCCUGCCGUUUUACUUUCAAAGCUUCUACCUAACGGACAAGGGAGACAACAUCAGGGAGAGAGCGCUAAGCGCUGACAGCAGGCAGAGGACCGCACGGGGUUGAGAGGAAACCCCCGAAAGGAAGAGCAACGAGCCAGUGGCAGCCUUUAAAUCCGUUCAACCUUCCCAGUUUUUGUCUGGUGACAUGGUUCCGCUUGCCCCACAGAGGUCUCCAGAUUCCAGCCAGACGUCAUUUGCCUCCCAGGUUUUUCGAAACCUUUCCUGUGGCCCUCUAGGGAACACCAGGAUGCAUAGUGACAGGGUCACCUGGAUCUCCUGACAAUGGGCUACAUUAAAUGAAGCCGCAGAAGUCUUUUCCCCAGAUGCUGAACAUGUGGGAUGUCGCUGAGCCUCGGCCAAGCACUCUCCUCCUCCUCCCUUGGGGCUUAGUCGCACCAGUUGCUGGGAAAACCCAGGCUUGGAUCCCAGGAUGGCCCCAGUUUCAAACAUUCCUGUGUGGUUCCACAGCGCAUCAGAAAGGUUGGAUCAGAGAACUCCUUGCCAGCCAGGCUGGGUAGUGGGGAAGAGACUGGCUCUGGAGACUCUUAAUGUGACUGGAAGCUUCUGCUAGAAAGGACUUGGGAAUUCGAGGCCAGCCUGGUAAACAGAGAGUCCCAGGACAGCCAUGGCUACACAGAGAAACCCUGUUUUGAAAAACUUAAAAAAAGAAAGGAGAAGAAAAGAAAAGAAAAGAAAAGAGAAAGAAAGAGAGGAAGGAAGAAAAUAAAAGAAAAAAGAAAGAAAGAAAGAAAGAAAGAAAGAAAGGAAGGAAGGAAGAAAGGAAGAAAGAAAGAAAGAAAGAAAGAAAGAAAGAAAGAAAGAAAGAAAGAAAGAAAGAAGAAAACCCGAACAAACAGUAAAACUUUAAAAACUUUAGGACUGGAGAGAUGGCUUAGUAGUUAAAGAGCACUGGCUGCUCUUCCAGAGGACCAGAGUUCAAUUCCCAGCAACCACAUGGUGGCUCAUAACCAUCUGUAAUGGGAUCUGAUGUCCUCUUCAGAUGUGUCCGAAGACAGAGACAGUGUACUCACAUACAUAAAAUAAAUAAAUAAACCUUAAAAAAAACAAAAAAACAACAGAGUAAAAAUUUAAACUCCAAAGUCUGGUGGCUCAUGCCUGUAACCCAGGGAUAGGAAGGGGGAGGCAGGAGAACUGGGCCAGUCCGGACUACAGUAGACCCUACCACAAGCCAACAGAGAAAUGCCUUUAUCUCCCCAACCCAAAGCCAGGUCUUGUGCAUGCAAAGCACUGAGCCCUCA
rnacentral:lncRNA from 1 species